rnacentral:tRNA from 1 species
ACCUGGGUGGCUCAGUCGGUAAAGCGUCCGACUUUGGCUCGGGUCAUGAUCUCAAGGUUCGUGAGUUCAAGCCCCGCAUCAGGCU